rnacentral:sRNA from 1 species
UCGGAAAUUUGAUAACUCAAAACGUGAUU